rnacentral:rRNA from 1 species
UACGUAGGGGGCGAGCGUUGUCCGGAGUUACUGGGCGUAAAGGGCAUGCAGGCGGUCCGACGCGUUUUGGGUGACAGCGGGUGGCUUCACUACCCGAGCAUGCGAAAGACGGUUGGACUUGAGGACUCGAGAGGGACACGGAAUUCCGGGUGGAGUGGUGAAAUGCGUAGAGAUCCGGAGGAACACCGAAGGCGAAGGCCGUGUCCUGGCGAGUGACUGACGCUGAGGUGCGAAAGCCAGGGGAGCGAACGGG